GGAAGUAAAAGCGUAACAAGGUUUCCGUAGGUGAACCUGCGGAAGGAUCAUUAUUGUAUAACCGAGGUGCGAGGGCUGUCGCUGACCCGAAAGGUCGUGCACGCCCGAGUGCCCUCACACACAUCCAUCUCACCCCUAUGUGCACCACCGCGUGGGUCCCCCUUUGGCUUGUUCGGAGGGGGGCUUACGUUUUCACACAAACUUUGUAUGCAGUGUAGAAUGUAUUUUUUGUUUUUGCGAUCACGCAAUCAAUACAACUUUCAACAACUGAUCUCUUGGCUCUC
rnacentral:misc_RNA from 1 species